rnacentral:rRNA from 1 species
UACGUAGGGGGCGAGCGUUGUCCGGAUUUACUGGGCGUAAAGGGUGAGUAGGCGGUUAUAUAUGUCAGGUGUAAAAAGCUAUGGCUUAACCAUAGUAAGCACUUGAAACUGUAUGACUUGAGUGCAGGAGAGGUAAGCGGAAUUCCUAGUGUAGCGGUGAAAUGCGUAGAUAUUCGGAGGAACACCAGUGGCGAAGGCGGCCUACUGGGCUUUAACUGACGCUGAGGCUCGAAAGUGUGGGGAGCAAACAGGAUUAGAUACCCCGGUAGUCCCUGA